GCCGGAGUGAUGGAAUUGGUAGACGUGCCGGACUCAAAAUCCGGUGGCCCUUGGGCCGUGCGGGUUCGACUCCCGCCUCCGGCACCA
rnacentral:tRNA from 1 species